rnacentral:siRNA from 1 species
UCGCUUAGAUGCAAAGCCUA